UGGAACUAGAUUCCCGGUAUCCCGGCUAGCAC
rnacentral:piRNA from 1 species